GUGAACACGGGGUGGAGAUGGGGUGACGCAGCCACAAGCCAAGGCACAGCAAGGGUUGUCAGUGGCCACCAGAAGCUGGCGAGCGUGAAGUGGGCCCUCCCUCCGGCCUCAGAGGGAAACAGGCCUGCACACACCUGGUCCUGGACCUCCCGCUGCUUGUUUACACCCUCAGUGGCGGCGAUUUGUUAUGGAAGCCCCAAGAAACAAUGACACCCCUACGGUGACCCUCACCCACCCCCCAUGUGACCCCAGAGAGGGUCAGGGCCAUCUGCAGCUCACCCAGAACCUCCCAGGGCCGCCUUCUCAGCAAGCACACAGGCCAGUACCCUCCGAGGCAUCCUGUAAAUGAGGUCACCUGCAGAAACCUCCAGGGAGAAAGGUGCCUGCAGGUAUUGCUCUGGAGGCGGCUGUAACCGGUGGAUGCUUCCCGAAGUGUAGUCACCGCGCGGCUCCGGGAAGCCCCGAGCUUCCCCCUGCGAGCAGCCGUAGAGGGCCGGGGCCUGGCCGCCGAGGGGGCAGCUCCGCGGGCUCCAUGCCCCCCCCCCCGCCUGCCGCCCCGCGGCUUCCCCGGACCUGCACGUCUCCGUAGGCCCCUGGGGAGCGCGGCAACCUCCCCUGCAGGUGCUCUGCUGAUCCGGGUGUCACCCGUCCCCGCUGCGAGGUCCACAUCUGUCCUCCGUCCUUGACCAGGUGAUUUACGCCGUUCCUGCGGCUCUGGUUUCCGUGAGGUCCCCUCACUUGGCUUACAGUUAUGGGGCACCCCUUGCCCCAUGGGUCUUCGAGAGCAGGAGGGAGUGAGCCCCCUGACCGCCCAUGCCAACCUCUGGUGAG